rnacentral:rRNA from 1 species
GCAAGUCGAACGAUGAUUAUCUAGCUUGCUAGAUAUGAUUAGUGGCGGACGGGUGAGUAACAUUUAGGAAUCUGCCUAGUAGUGGGGGAUAGCUCGGGGAAACUCGAAUUAAUACCGCAUACGACCUACGGGUGAAAGGGGGCGCAAGCUCUUGCUAUUAGAUGAGCCUAAAUCAGAUUAGCUAGUUGGUGGGGUAAAGGCCCACCAAGGCGACGAUCUGUAACUGGUCUGAGAGGAUGAUCAGUCACACCGGAACUGAGACACGGUCCGGACUCCUACGGGAGGCAGCAGUGGGGAAUAUUGGACAAUGGGGGCAACCCUGAUCCAGCCAUGCCGCGUGUGUGAAGAAGGCCUUUUGGUUGUAAAGCACUUUAAGCAGGGAGGAGAGGCUAAUGGUUAAUACCCAUUAGAUUAGACGUUACCUGCAGAAUAAGCACCGGCUAACUCUGUGCCAGCAGCCGCGGUAAUACAGAGGGUGCGAGCGUUAAUCGGAAUUACUGGGCGUAAAGCGAGUGUAGGUGGCUCAUUAAGUCACAUGUGAAAUCCCCGGGCUUAACCUGGGAACUGCAUGUGAUACUGGUGGUGCUAGAAUAUGUGAGAGGGAAGUAGAAUUCCAGGUGUAGCGGUGAAAUGCGUAGAGAUCUGGAGGAAUACCGAUGGCGAAGGCAGCUUCCUGGCAUAAUAUUGACACUGAGAUUCGAAAGCGUGGGUAGCAAACAGGAUUAGAUACCCUGGUAGUCCACGCCGUAAACGAUGUCUACUAGCCGUUGGGGUCCUUGAGACUUUAGUGGCGCAGUUAACGCGAUAAGUAGACCGCCUGGGGAGUACGGCCGCAAGGUUAAAACUCAAAUGAAUUGACGGGGGCCCGCACAAGCGGUGGAGCAUGUGGUUUAAUUCGAUGCAACGCGAAGAACCCUUACCUGGUCUUGACAUAGUGAGAAUCCUGCAGAGAUGCGGGAGUGCCUUCGGGAAUUUCACAUACAGUGCUGCAUGGCUGUCGUCAGCUCGUGUCGUGAGAUGUUGGGUUAAGUUCCCGCAACGAGCGCAACC